AUGCAAGCUAUAGCUGAACCACCGUUACCUCAACUCAAGUACCUGAACAGCUGGAGAUCUUAUCCGAAGACAAACUUCAGGAAAAAUAUUACCAUCACCGAACCGUAUCAUACAUGGCCAUCACUGACGGAUGACGAAUGGAUUAAGGUUGAAGUGCACCUGAAGGAUCUAAUUUUAGCGGAGUACGGCAAGAAGAACAACAUUAAUGUUUGCAUCGCUCACGCAAUCUGAAAUCCACUUUAUUCUGGGCAUGAAAAUAAGUGCUCCAUCCGGGCAACGUCAGCAGAUCGCUGAGAAGCUUGAGAAGCAGACUAAGGAACAGCCAGUUGACCGCUACCACUACGCGAACGGUGACGAGACUACAUUACUAGACAAUUACGAGACACAGACUUUCAGCUUGAAAACCAAAUGGCGAGUAUGUGCCAUCUCCGUAACCAAUCUCAGAACCAAUCACAUUUAUGUUUUGUCUGAUGAUAUUAAAGAGACUAGCUACACUUAUAUCUUACCUAAGAAUGUAUUGAAGAAAUUUGUCACCAUUUCCGAUUUGCGAGCGCAAAUAGCUGGCUAUUUAUAUGGCAUCAGUCCGCCUGACAAUCCUCAGGUCAAAGAAAUCAGAUGUAUUGUAAUGACAAUGUAAUCGCAAUGGAGAACUCACCAAACCGUUCAUUUGCCAAAUACGCUACCUAACCAUUAGUAGUUGAAGGAGAUGGAACUGCUAGGAUGGAUACACACGCAGUCAAACGAAUUGCCGCAACUCUCGCCGUAGGACAUAUCCACUCAUGAUCAGAUAAUGGUGGAGAAUUCUAUCUGGGACGGCGAAACCAUCGUUAUUACUUGCAGUUUUACGCCCUGCUCCUGCUCUCUCAUAGCGUACAAAUUAACCCCGAGUGGUUUUGAAUGGGGCCAGCAGAACACCGACAAGAGCAACAAUCCAAAGGGUUAUCUACUCAGUCACUACGAAAAAAAGUACAAAUGCUUCUGUCCGAUCGUUUCCUUGAUUUCUUUAUGGUGCCCCGACAAGUCUUAUGGAACUACAACUUUAUGGAUGUGAGGCACAUCUCAACAUGAAGUACAAGUUGCAACUAGCGAAUCCAAAGGAGUUUUAUCACAAAGUGCACAAGCAGGUUCAUUUCUUUGCAAGCUUAGAAGAUGGUGAUGGCGUCAGAGCUGAUCGAGAAGAUGUGUUUGCAUAAAAUAAACAUGUGCUGUGUAGGAUUUUGAUUGAGUGAUUAAAAGUGCCAUGAUGUGGAUAAGUAGCGCGAAAGUACGUGCUCAGAACAUAUAGACAAGAGGAACAGAAGGCUGAAUGUAUCCGGAGGAAGUGAGAAAGAAAAUUGUAGUUGUCUCUCUCUUGUAAGUUAUUGCGCGAAAGUACGUAUGCGCGUCAUUCGCUGACGCAUACAAGCAUCGUGCGUGUAUAUUCAUACCUCUACAAAUCAAUCGUGUAUGUAUCUUUUUUUCCAAUUCUCCUUUUUUUAUGGAGAAACUCUGGAAAUAAAUGAAUAAUGAGAGCAAGAAAUAAAUAUACAAAUCAGGGAGGAAAUAAAUAAAUACUCUUUAUAUAAUAUAAAAUUAUUUUAUAACAUUUAUUAUUUUAUUGGUUUUUAAAUAAUUAUUUUAAAAAAAUUAAUUUUAAAUAUUUUUGUCGAAUAUAUUCGUUUUUUUAAAUAUUUUGCCCAUUUUCCUUCAUGAAAUAAACGAAGAACUACAUAUGUUUUAAUAAUAGCUUUGAUCAAUUGAGUCUUGUGAUUAUUAAUAAUUCCUUGAUUCUGAACAUGUUUUGUCAUAAUAUUUUCGUUAAAUACUAACUGUCUGAAAUGAUAACAAAUCUGAAAACAUAGAAUUUUCCAUAUUAAGAGUUCUUUAAUAUUUUUAUGUGUGAAAAAAUCUCGUUAUUUAUGUGUAUAAUUCUCUAAUUUUGUUUGGAUGCAUUUUGUAGUGUUGAGGAUAUAUCUUAUAGACAAAAUGUGUAUUGUACGAUAACAUCUGCUAAGAUAUUAUUACAAUCAAUUUUUAUUUGUAUGUUAUUGUUAGUAAUAUAAUUACAUAUUUAAAAUAUGUAUAUUCCUUGUUAUUAAAUGUUAAAUUAAAUUUUUUAAGAAAAGGGUGAGCCAAAAAUCAGCUUGAAAUCCACUUGUUUGGGCGCCCCUGAAUUUAGACUUUAAUUUGAUGGCAAAAGUUAGUUCAUAAUGAGACAUAAACUCCCUGCAAGUUUUAUGUUGAUCCGACUUUUAAUCGCUGAGAUAUAUGAGAGAGGUUUAAUUAAUUUAUGCUGACUCUAAGUAAACUGUUAUUUAUUUCAAUAUUUGACAAUUUUUUAACUGUUUUUAAUUUUUUAAUUUUUAAUUUUAAGUUAUUUUUCAACCUGGCUGAGGUGUAUACAAUGUUAUUCACAGGAUCUGGAACACCUCAUAAAAUUUAUGCCAUUUAUGACAUAAAUCAUAUUUUACUCCAGUUUAUGCUUAGGACCCCCUGUAAGGGGGUCAACAUGAAACUUUUAAGUCUUGUCUACAAUGAAUUGUUUGAUCAAUGUCUUAUCAUAAAUUAACUGUUAAAGAUUUAUACUCGGAAAAAAAGAAUUUUUUUUAAUAUCUUUAUUUUUAUUGAAAUAGCAUCAAAUUUUUUUCUGAUAAUAUAAAUCAAACAACUUUAAUAUUCGUCACGGUCAAACAUAGAAUUGCAUAGAAUACAAUUUUGGGGUGCCUUCAGAUUCCUCACCCGAGUGCCCACAGGUGUCGUUUAAUUCUUGUUUAACAUUCAGUAAAUAACAAGGAUAAAAUGAUAUCUGGAAACACUCAGGUGGGGAAUCUGAACGCAGCCUUGUAGGCUUUAGUACUCCAUUACGUCGACUUGUCGAUAAUCUAAGCAACCGGUCGAUAACAUGGUAUAUGUGUUUACCCCGAAAAUUCUUGUAAUUCAAACAAGGUACUAGCACCACCUGUCGUUAGAAAGCAAUAUUCGAAAGAAAUGCGGAGCAACCAAAUGUAAAAGAAAUUCGGAGUACGUUUAACGUACCGAAGGCAGUUAAUGAGGAACUGUCUAAAGCUUUCGGCACAGGAUACGAUUUUUUAUGCUAGCAUGCAUACGAGGCGUUUUAUGAUUGGGUUACGAUUGGUAAUAUAAUUAUUCGAGCUAAUCGAGACACGUAAUAAGAUGUUUCGUAUGCGAUCUAGCAUGAAAAAUCGUAUCGUGUGCCGAAGGCUUAACUCGUACUCCGAUAGGAAAAGAUUUAUAAAAUUAUAUGACAAAAGAAUUGUAAAAGAUUUAUAAUCCGUCAUUAUGAGGACAUAGUUGAGAAAAUAGAUGUAGAAACAUUAACCUUUUAUAAAAAUAUUAAUAAAUGUUUGCGUAAUUAAAUUUUGAAAUGAUAUGUUGGCAUAACAAUAGCGAUACGGCGAAUCAUCUUAACAAAACGCAUUUGCAAAAUUAAAUUUAGAAAUAAAUUGUGCAAUAAUUGAGAAAAAUAUUUCAGUCGUGACAUGUUUAAAACAUUUAGAAAUAUAAUUGUGCACAAAAGACUCAAAUUAUUCCUCAAUUAUUCCUAAAUUAUGAUGCACAAAUAUUGAAACAUGGAAUGUGUAAUAUUGCAUGUUUCAAUAUUUGUGCAUUAUAAUGUAGGAAUAAUUUAAGAGUUUCUGACCAUUACUAUCAAUGAGAUACUUAACUCUCCAACGGACGCAACUAAUCUGUCAAACAAAGUCCCUCUUUUUUAAAAUUUAUUAAAUGUCUAGUGAAUAAGCGA